rnacentral:piRNA from 1 species
CUGAAAAACACUGUUCUGAGGCU